rnacentral:rRNA from 2 species
CGCCUGCGGCAUGCCUACCAUGCAGUCGAACGAAGUCUUCGGACUUAGUGGCGGACGGGUGAGUAACGCGUGAGAAUCCACCUUUAGGAGGGGGACAACGACGGGAAACGGUCGCUAAGACCCCAUAUGUCUACGGAUGAAAGAGUUAAUUCUGCCUAAAGACGAGCUCGCGUCCGAUUAGCUAGUUGGUGGGGUAAGAGCCUACCAAGGCAACGAUCGGUAGCUGGUUUGAGAGGACAACCAGCCACACUGGGACUGAGACACGGCCCAGACUCCUACGGGAGGCAGCAGUGGGGAAUUUUCCGCAAUGGGCGCAAGCCUGACGGAGCAAUACCGCGUGGGGGAGUAAGGUCUGUGGAUUGUAAACCCCUUUUCUCAGGGAAGAAGCUCUGACGGUACCUGAGGAAUCAGCAUCGGCUAACUCCGUGCCAGCAGCCGCGGUAAUACGGAGGAUGCAAGCGUUAUCCGGAAUUAUUGGGCGUAAAGCGUCCGCAGGCGGUCAAAUAAGUCUGCUUUCAAAGAGUGGGGCUCAACCCCAUAAAGGGAGUGGAAACUGUUUGACUAGAGUGUGGUAGGGGCAGAGGGAAUUCCCAGUGUAGCGGUGAAAUGCGUAGAUAUUGGGAAGAACACCAGUGGCGAAGGCGCUCUGCUGGACCAAGACUGACGCUGAGGGACGAAAGCUAGGGGAGCGAAAGGGAUUAGAUACCCCUGUAGUCCUAGCUGUAAACGAUGGACACUAGGUGUUGCGCGUAUCGACCCGUGCAGUGCCGUAGCCAACGCGUUAAGUGUCCCGCCUGGGGAGUACGCACGCAAGUGUGAAACUCAAAGGAAUUGACGGGGGCCCGCACAAGCGGUGGAGUAUGUGGUUUAAUUCGAUGCAACGCGAAGAACCUUACCAAGGCUUGACAUCCUGCGAAUCUCCUUGAAAGGGGAGAGUGCCUUCGGGAGCGCAGAGACAGGUGGUGCAUGGCUGUCGUCAGCUCGUGUCGUGAGAUGUUGGGUUAAGUCCCGCAACGAGCGCAACCCAGGUCUUCAGUUGCCAUCAUUAAGUUGGGGACUCUGGAGAGACUGCCGGUGACAAACCGGAGGAAGGUGUGGAUGACGUCAAGUCAUCAUGCCCCUUACGUCUUGGGCUACACACGUACUACAAUGGGUAGGACAAAGGGCAGCGAAGCCGCGAGGUGGAGCAAAACUCGUAAACAUAUCCUCAGUUCAGAUUGCAGGGUGCAACUGGCCUGCAUGAAGGAGGAAUCGCUAGUAAUCGCAGGUCAGCAUCUGCGGUGAAUACGUUCCCGGGCCUUGUACACACCGCCCGUCACACCAUGGGAGUGGCCACGCCCGAGGUCGUUACCCUACCCGUUCGCGGAGGAGACGCCGAAGGUGACCUAGUGU